rnacentral:rRNA from 1 species
UACGGAGGGUGCAAGCGUUAUCCGGAUUCACUGGGUUUAAAGGGUGCGUAGGUGGGUCUGUAAGUCAGUGGUGAAAUCUCCGGGCUUAACCCGGAAACUGCCAUUGAUACUAUAGGUCUUGAAUCUUCUGGAGGUUAGCGGAAUAUGUCAUGUAGCGGUGAAAUGCUUAGAUAUGACAUAGAACACCAAUUGCGAAGGCAGCUGGCUACAGGAGCAUUGACACUGAGGCACGAAAGCGUGGGGAUCAAACAGG